rnacentral:rRNA from 1 species
UACGUAGGGCGCAAGCGUUGUCCGGAAUUAUUGGGCGUAAAGAGCUCGUAGGCGGUUUGUCGCGUCUGUCGUGAAAGCUUGGGGCUUAACCCCAAGUCUGCGGUGGAUACGGGCAGACUAGAGGCAGGUAGGGGAGAACGGAAUUCCCGGUGUAGCGGUGAAAUGCGCAGAUAUCGGGAGGAACACCGGUGGCGAAGGCGGUUCUCUGGGCCUGUACUGACGCUGAGGCGCGAAAGCUAGGGGAGCAAACAGG